AUUGAACGCUGGCGGCAGGCUUAACACAUGCAAGUCGAGCGGAGAUGAGGUGCUUGCACCUUAUCUUAGCGGCGGACGGGUGAGUAAUGCUUAGGAAUCUGCCUAUUAGUGGGGGACAACAUUCCGAAAGGAAUGCUAAUACCGCAUACGUCCUACGGGAGAAAGCAGGGGAUCUUCGGACCUUGCGCUAAUAGAUGAGCCUAAGUCGGAUUAGCUAGUUGGUGGGGUAAAGGCCUACCAAGGCGACGAUCUGUAGCGGGUCUGAGAGGAUGCUCCGCCACACUGGGACUGAGACACGGACCAGACUCCUACGGGAGGCAGCAGUGGGGAAUAUUGGACAAUGGGGGAAACCCUGAUCAAGCCAUGCCGCGUGUGUGAAGAAGGCCUUAUGGUUGUAAAGCACUUUAAGCGAGGAGGAGGCUACUGAGACUAAUACUCUUGGAUAGUGGACGUUACUCGCAGAAUAAGCACCGGCUAACUCUGUGCCAGCCGCCGCCGUAACAC
rnacentral:rRNA from 1 species